UCCAUGGUUAUACUAUAGUUAGACCAUGUUAAUCAAAAAAAUAGCCAUGGUUUUGUCACACUAUAGGAAAACUGGUUAUACAGAUGGUAAUCAAUAAACCAAAAAACAAAAACAACAUAAUAUACUCUUUCACAAUAUCCCAUGGUUAAUUUUUCACAAGAACAGCGCAUCUCAAAGAGCUAAAUUUAGACUGAAAUGGAACAUCGUACUUUAAAUUUGAGGUUGUCGCUCAGAAAACCCAAUCAUAUGACUUCAGAAGACUUGGAACAUAGCGCACAAGUCUACUUUAAUUGCAUUUUAAUAAGACCUCUACAUGUUGUUUGGCAACUGUAGGCCAAAACACCUUCUUUCACUUCUGGAGAAGAAAGAAAGUCAUACAGAUUUGGGUGUAAAUGGUGACAGAAUGAGAAUUUUGGUAGUUUUGUGGGUUUGUGGUCAUCUGGGCAGUUGCUAAUCAGAGAUGUUUUACUGUGGAGGAAUCAUCAUCACAUGUCUUCCGCACAUUUCUCACCAUUAGAAACCACAUCCGAGACGUGUUGCUAGUGCUUUGAGAGUCUUUAGCAGCGCUGCUGAUGUGGAAACACGCCAGCGAUAAUGCUUCGUUUUGAAGUUCUAGCGAAAAGGCAUUUUAACUAGAACACCAGAGGCUUUAUCGACUGGGAUUCCUUUCCACAACCAACCAAAUCUCAAACCUCUCAUGCUUUAAGUUGAAAACACAGCCUGAUUCUCAUUUCUGAUGAGGGCUUGAAAUCCAAAAGACCUCAAAUUUCAAUCCCAGCCUUUAAGAAUGAUAAACGGAAUGAAUCUCAAAACAACGAUGCACCAGUGGAUUGACGUGACGCAUCCAUUAUAAAUGCAACCAAGGCAUAUCUGAUAACUGGGGCCAGAGGAGAAGGCGGAGAAGCUCUUCAGACACUGCGUGAGGUCAUCCGGGGGUCUAUAUAAACCCUGGGAUCUGACCGUCCGUCCGUCAGUCCGUCAUCUGCAGGAGAACAGACGGGGAGCGAGACAGCACAUCGAGGCUUUUCAGUGUUUGGAUGAUGGUGAAGACACAAAGAUCUCAGCAGCGCGUCGCUCUCAUGAUACUGAUGGUGGUCGCAGCCGUGCAGAGUCAGGAGAACCAGAGCUCAGCCCGGGAGAGACAGCAGCAGCAGGAGCCACAAGAGGGCGCUGGAGACGCUGUUGAGCGACAUGUUCAGACCUCAUAUAAAUAUAUAAAUAUAACACAUAUAAAUCAGUUUCGUGUGCUAGAUAACAUGCUACUUUGAAAUACACCAUGGUACUUUUUUGUGUGGAAGAAUUGAUGUUGGUAUGUAUGCUUCGAAGGGUUUCAGAUAUAUAGUAAAUCCAUCCUUGCUAGUAUAUUUGUUUAUGUGGAUAGCAGAACAUAUUUUUUAUUUAUUAUAUGUGUGUGUGAUUAAAAAUGCUUUUCAGUAAACUGA